AUAGCUUAUUUAAGAGAGCUAUUAAAGGACAGACUAGACAUGUAUUUUUAAAAAAACACAAUUUUUGGUCAUGUGAAUGAUUCAUGUUCAGAUUUCAAAAAUAGGAAACAUCCUAAAGUGCAUCAUUUUAUUUAUAAUCUCACUCCUUGAAAUUAUAGCAAUCUGCAAUGUAAACAGUAGAGCAAAGAAUUCCAAACUAUAUUUUUAUGUACAUUUAAACCUGUAGGAUUAUGUACCGUCUUUGUGUAUGGAUUAAAACCAGGGCACUUCCAACACAUAGCUCAAGCUUCCAUACGAUUAAGAGCAAACUUAAAGGCAUUCUUUUUCCCCAUCCUUAACAUUCAGCUGACAGAAGAGAGCUGCUACCUCACUUCAGCAAUGGAAAAUGUUGCUGUAAAUCCCAUUGGACCAGCCAGUUUCUCACGACCCUUUAAAACUGAAAACGGAUGACCCGGUCCUAGGCAGGGACCAAAAUUCCUUGUCAGCUGAGGAAGUCCUGAAGAAACAUCCUGAAGAUGAUGACUGCACUGCCAUCGUGGGCAGAUGCAGCUUCCAUCUACCUGAGGGCUGAAGGGGAAAACCUUUCACACACGUGAGGAAGGCGCAGCUCUGUGGAAAGGUCACUAGAAUGGCAGCGGCAGCAAAUAGGGCUCCAAUGCACGUUUGCAGUUAACUGGGUCCAAGGAGAGCAUGGCCCUCCACAGCAAGUUUGCUCUAUAGAAUAAAGUCCUGAGCUUGUUUUUAUCACAGUUAGACAGAGAAUGGUCUCUUGUUUCUCAGUUAUCCAGGGAAGAACAGUGUAUAUUCUCUGUAGAUGAGUGUUGUCUAAUGUAGUGAUUAAUCUCUGCUAGUGUUAGGAAAGCUCCACUACUGUGUGUGUGUGUGCGUGCAUGCGCGUGCGCAUGUGCACAUACUGCAGUCUUGACUUUCCAAUUACAAAAUGCCUAAGUCAGGUCACAUUGUCUUCUUCCAGCCAGUUUCUAAGGCAGGCAAUGGAAACAGGAGCCGAUGCCAAAUGGUCUAGAGGCAGAAGGGCUGCAUGCUUUGCAGGGCCAGCCCCAAGGCUGCCUUCCAGAGCUGCACUUUCUCUGGGGACAGUAAACUCUCACCGCAGCUGCCAGCCCCCUGUGCUUGGCCAUGCCCCUCACAUGGACUUGGAAUCAGUGUCUCUCUUGCUGAUGAGCACCUCCAGGAGCCUCAGUUUCGCCUUUAUGUGCUUAUAUUCACUGUAUUCUUCAGCCAUAGGAGUGCGGUCUUCCUUCUGGACAUUUCUA
rnacentral:lncRNA from 1 species